UGGGGAAUCUUGGGCAAUGGGCGAAAGCCUGACCCAGCGACGCCGCGUGGAGGACGAAGGCCCUCGGGUCGUAAACUCCUGUUCUUGGGGAAGAGAAUGACGGUACCCAAGGAGCAAGCCCCGGCUAACUCCGUGCCAGCAGCCGCGGUAAUACGGGGGGGGCAAGCGUUGUUCGGAAUUACUGGGCGUAAAGGGUGCGUAGGCGGCUUAGGAAGUCUGAGGUGAAAGUCCCCGGCUCAACCGGGGGAGGACCUCAGAAACCCAUAGGCUAGAGAGCUGGAGAGGGAAGCGGAAUUCCCGGUGGAGCGGUGAAAUGCGUAGAUAUCGGGAGGAACAUCGGAGGCGAAGGCGGCUUCCUGGACAGCAUCUGACGCUGAGGCACGAAAGCUAGGGGAGCGAACGGG
rnacentral:rRNA from 1 species